GCAGUAGAACGCUGAAGAGAGGAGCUUGCUCUUCUUGGAUGAGUUGCGAACGGGUGAGUAACGCGUAGGUAACCUGCCUUGUAGCGGGGGAUAACUAUUGGAAACGAUAGCUAAUACCGCAUAACAAUGGAUGACACAUGUCAUUUAUUUGAAAGGGGCAAUUGCUCCACUACAAGAUGGACCUGCGUUGUAUUAGCUAGUAGGUGAGGUAAUGGCUCACCUAGGCGACGAUACAUAGCCGACCUGAGAGGGUGAUCGGCCACACUGGGACUGAGACACGGCCCAGACUCCUACGGGAGGCAGCAGUAGGGAAUCUUCGGCAAUGGGGGCAACCCUGACCGAGCAACGCCGCGUGAGUGAAGAAGGUUUUCGGAUCGUAAAGCUCUGUUGUAAGUCAAGAACGGGUGUGAGAGUGGAAAGUUCACACUGUGACGGUAGCUUACCAGAAAGGGACGGCUAACUACGUGCCAGCAGCCGCGGUAAUACGUAGGUCCCGAGCGUUGUCCGGAUUUAUUGGGCGUAAAGCGAGCGCAGGCGGUUUGAUAAGUCUGAAGUUAAAGGCUGUGGCUCAACCAUAGUUCGCUUUGGAAACUGUCAAACUUGAGUGCAGAAGGGGAGAGUGGAAUUCCAUGUGUAGCGGUGAAAUGCGUAGAUAUAUGGAGGAACACCGGUGGCGAAAGCGGCUCUCUGGUCUGUAACUGACGCUGAGGCUCGAAAGCGUGGGGAGCGAACAGGAUUAGAUACCCUGGUAGUCCACGCCGUAAACGAUGAGUGCUAGGUGUUGGAUCCUUUCCGGGAUUCAGUGCCGCAGCUAACGCAUUAAGCACUCCGCCUGGGGAGUACGACCGCAAGGUUGAAACUCAAAGGAAUUGACGGGGGCCCGCACAAGCGGUGGAGCAUGUGGUUUAAUUCGAAGCAACGCGAAGAACCUUACCAGGUCUUGACAUCCCGAUGCUAUUUCUAGAGAUAGAAAGUUACUUCGGUACAUCGGUGACAGGUGGUGCAUGGUUGUCGUCAGCUCGUGUCGUGAGAUGUUGGGUUAAGUCCCGCAACGAGCGCAACCCCUAUUGUUAGUUGCCAUCAUUCAGUUGGGCACUCUAGCGAGACUGCCGGUAAUAAACCGGAGGAAGGUGGGGAUGACGUCAAAUCAUCAUGCCCCUUAUGACCUGGGCUACACACGUGCUACAAUGGUUGGUACAACGAGUUGCGAGUCGGUGACGGCGAGCUAAUCUCUUAAAGCCAAUCUCAGUUCGGAUUGUAGGCUGCAACUCGCCUACAUGAAGUCGGAAUCGCUAGUAAUCGCGGAUCAGCACGCCGCGGUGAAUACGUUCCCGGGCCUUGUACACACCGCCCGUCACACCACGAGAGUUUGUAACACCCGAAGUCGGUGAGGUAACCUUUGGAGCCAGC
rnacentral:rRNA from 1 species